ACUUCGUUUUGGUUCUCUGACCUGAUUCCUGAAGAAGCCCUUUAAAAGGGCUGGUAUCACAAGCAAGGAAGGCAGGCCCCAGAGGACCAGCCAGGGUGGGCUUUUCUGAACUGGCCAUUGUGAAUCCAAACCAUCCACUGUACGCUCUGGUCUGAGCUGUAAAAGCCAGGAGCCCUUUGCUUGGCUUUACUCCCGUAUCCCCUGAAAUGGUGAGGCCGCGUAUCCAGGUGAAAACUGUGUGUUGCGAGGAAUGCCUCAUGUGGAUCUUUGCCGUGAGCUGAAGCCCGAUACUUCUCAUUUCGCCCAAGAGGAGGACAGAGACAGGACAGUGAAGGAAGUUCAUUCGCGGCUCAGACAAACCCAGGCCAUGGUUUCCUAUGUGGUCACGUCUGCCCGGCACAUCUCCGAUCAAGUGUCCAGAGGCAGGCAAAGGGGCCUCUCCUCUUGCCCCCUCGCCUCUCACUGGCCAAGUGCCCAUUUCUAAACCUGGUGCUGGCGAGGACGGGGCCACCUCGAUGCCUUGGCUUUGAGGAGGUCCACGUGUUGCCUCAGCCGGAUUUUGGCUGCCUGGGCAGAAGGUAGGGGACCCCAUCGUCGCCUUGCUGUAAUGCCUCAACCCCAAGGAAGGCAUCGGGACCAGUGGAGCCUCAGUUGAGCAGGAGGACGAUCCCAGAGCCGCUCGGAACCUCCGCAUCUUCCUCUGUACCACGGGCUGCCGGCACCCGCAGGCGGCUGUGAGGGGUACGCAGCUGUGUCCACACAAAGCACGGUUUGCACCAUUCCAGCCUUCAGUCAGCGUGUGGUGAAUGUCAACUAUCACGAUUAUCAUUACCUCCUUUUCCCCCAAAGUCCUUCCUCUGGUGAAGCUACUCAAUGUGAACGUUUAAACGUUUAACAAGGUUUUUGAUACAAUGUGCUGCUUCAGACCCUAAGGAUUUCAGUGUAAUGGACUGACGCGCAGCUGUGACCACCAUCCAUCCGCCCCUGUAAUUGCUUCCGUCUUGGAAAACUGAACCUCUCUGCCCACUGACACUAGCUCCCGGCUCCCCAGCCCCUGGCACCACCACAGGUAUGACGGCGACUGCUUUAAACACCCAGUGUAAGUGGAAUUCUCUAGGAUAUGUGUUUUUGUGACUGGCUUAUUUCACUUAACAUGGCCGUAUCCUUGCCAAUACUUGGAUUUAUUUUUUAAUUAAAAAAAAAAUAACCUGUAUUUUAUCACAUUUAGCAGAAACUAUGGUUCCAAAUGACCUGGUGCCAUUUUAAAAAGUUUUUUUAUUACAUUUAUUUAUUUUUGAGAGACAGAGUGAGACAGAGCACGAGCAGGGGAGAGGCAGAGAGAGGAGACACAGAAUCUGAAGCAGGCUCCAGACUCUGAGCUGUCAGCACAGAGCCCGACGCAGGGCUCGAACCCACGAACUGUGAGAUCAUGUCCUGAGCUGAAGUUGGUCACUUAACCGACUGAGCCACCCAGGCGCCCAGACCUGACACCACUUUUUCUAACAUGUAUGAGUUUUCUAUUGUAUGGGUGCAGUUUUUUGUUUGUUUUUUGUUUUGAGUAAACUGUACCUCCAAUGUGGAGCUAGAACUCACGACCCCAAGACCAAAAGUCACUCGCUCAUCAAUAAAACCAUCAGGGACAGGGCUUUUCUCUGUAGAGAUUUUGGUUACUGAUUCAAUCUUAUUUAAGUCUACUCAGAUUUUCUAAUUUUUUGUAACUUAGUCUUAACAGGUUUGUGUCUCUAGGAAUUUGUCCAUUUCAUCUAGGUCAUCCAAUUUAUUGGUGUACAAAUGCUCAUAGUGAAAGGGCGGGCCUACGCCGGCCGACUCCAUCUUGUUCUGUGUUCUCCACCUUGAGUGACUAUGUCCCUGACAUGACCCCUUUUCCGGGAAAAUCGCAGAAACCUCAGAUCGCGCCUCCUCCCCUUGAGUAACCUCCCGCUCACCCGUUCAAACUUCCUGAUCAAAACACGCCCAGCGACCUGCGUAACAGGACUCUGACCCUUCCCCAGCCAAUCGGCCGAGGCCACGACCCUUCCCCAGCCAAUCGGCUGCCCCUAGACCCCUAUAAAACCUUUGUGCUUUUGAAACUCGCUCUCUCUCCGGUAUCUCACAACUGCCUCGGUGCAGGUAGGGGACUGAGCUCCAGCUAGCUCGAAUAAAGGCUCUUUUGCUUUUGCAUCGGACUCGGCUCCCUGGUGGUCUUUGGGGAUCACGAAUUCUGGGCAUAACAAUAG